rnacentral:rRNA from 1 species
AGAACGAACGUUAGCGGCGCGCUUAACACAUGCAAGUCGUGCGAGAAGGGGAAACCCCGGUAAAGCGGCGCACGGGUGAGUAACACGUAGGUAACUCUACCCCCAGGUGGUGGAUAACGUUCCGAAAGGAGCGCUAAUACAGCAUAAGACCACGAUCCCGCAAGGGGUUGAGGUCAAAGCCGGCCUCUUCACGAAAGCUGGCGCCAGGGGAUGAGCCUGCGGCCCAUCAGCUAGUUGGUAGGGUAACGGCCUACCAAGGCGAAGACGGGUAGCUGGUCUGAGAGGAUGAUCAGCCACACUGGAACUGAGACACGGUCCAGACUCCUACGGGAGGCAGCAGUGGGGAAUCUUGCGCAAUGGGCGAAAGCCUGACGCAGCGACGCCGCGUGAGUGAUGAAGGCCUUUCCGGGGUUGUAAAGCUCUGUGGAGGGGGACGAAUAAGUCGUGGCUAACAUCCACGAUGAUGACGGUACCUCUUUAGCAAGCACCGGCUAACUCUGUGCCAGCAGCAGC